rnacentral:rRNA from 1 species
CAGUAGCCGCGGGAAUACGUAGGGCGCAAGCGUUAUCCGGAAUUAUUGGGCGUAAAGAGCUCGUAGGCGGUUUGUCGCGUCUGCCGUGAAAGUCCGGGGCUCAACCCCGGAUCUGCGGUGGGUACGGGCAGACUAGAGUGAUGUAGGGGAGACUGGAAUUCCCGGUGUAGCGGUGAAAUGCGCAGAUAUCAGGAGGAACACCGAUGGCGAAGGCAGGUCUCUGGGCAUUAACUGAUGCUGAGGAGCGAAAGCAUGGGGAGCGAACAGGAUUAGAUACCCCGGUAGUCCCUGUCUCUUAUAC